CUUCAGAAACUAAGAAGCGCACCAAAUUAGGGUUUCGUUUUGUUUUGUGAAAGCUCAAUAUUCAUUAUCGAUAAUGAUCUACGACGUUAACUCCCCUCUCUUCCGCUCCUUCCUCAGCCAGAAAGGAGGCCCUUCUGACAAAAGGAAAACGGAGGAGCAGAAGCCAAAAGAACAGAGACCAAAAGCCAGUGAGAAUAAGCCUGUUAUGACUGAAUGAGAAUGCGUUGGG
rnacentral:misc_RNA from 1 species